AGUGAACGCUGGCGGCAGGCCUAACACAUGCAAGUCGAGCGGCAGAAGAGUACUUGCUCGUGGAUACGGGGGCGGACGGGCGAGCAAGGGCGAGGUAUAUGCCUGGCAGCGGUGGCGAACGUGCGGACAUAGGCGCUCAUACGCUAAAACCGCUGAGGACGAACGUGGGGAAGCAUCGGAUCUCACGCUAUUACGUGAUCCAAUGUCGGAUUAGCUAGUUGGCGGGGUAAAGGCCUACCAAGGCGACGAUCCGUAACUGGUCUGAGAGGAUGAUCAGCCACACUGGAACUGAGACACGGUCCAGACUCCUACGGGAGGCAGCAGUGGGGAAUAUUGGACAAUGGGCGAAAGCCUGAUCCAGCCAUGCCGCGUGUGUGAAGAAGGUCUUCGGGUUGUAAAGCCCUUUUGUUUGGGAAGAAAAGCAGCAGGUUAAUACCUCGCUGUUUUGACGUUACCAACAGAAUAAGCACCGGCUAACUUCGUG
rnacentral:rRNA from 1 species